rnacentral:rRNA from 1 species
CCUACGUGUGGCAGCAGUGGGGAAUAUUGGACAAUGGGGGGAACCCUGAUCCAGCCAUGCCGCGUGUGUGAAGAAGGCCCUCGGGUUGUAAAGCACUUUCAGUGAGGAAGAACGCCUGGUGGUUAAUACCCAUCAGGAAAGACAUCACUCACAGAAGAAGCACCGGCUAACUCCGUGCCAGCAGCCGCGGUAAUACGGAGGGUGCGAGCGUUAAUCGGAAUUACUGGGCGUAAAGCGCGCGUAGGUGGCUUGAUAAGCCGGUUGUGAAAGCCCCGGGCUCAACCUGGGAACGGCAUCCGGAACUGUCAAGCUAGAGUGCAGGAGAGGGAGGUAGAAUUCCCGGUGUAGCGGUGAAAUGCGUAGAGAUCGGGAGGAAUACCAGUGGCGAAGGCGGCCUUCUGGACUGACACUGACACUGAGGUGCGAAAGCGUGGGUAGCAAACAGGAUUAGAUACCCUAGUAGUC